rnacentral:rRNA from 1 species
AGUAAAGUGGCGUACGGGUGAGUAACACGUGGAUCAUCUACCUUCUAGUGGGGGAUAACCCUGGGAAACCGGGGCUAAUACCGCAUAAGCUCGAGAGAGGAAAGCAGCAAUGCGCUGGAAGAGGAGUCCGCGGCCGAUUAGCUAGUUGGUAGGGUAAAAGCCUACCAAGGCAACGAUCGGUAGCCGGCCUGAGAGGGCACACGGCCACACUGGCACUGAAACACGGGCCAG